rnacentral:piRNA from 1 species
UGCCACAACAAAACUUCAUCCUACUAAAACAC